rnacentral:rRNA from 1 species
GACGAACGCUGGCGGCGUGCUUAACACAUGCAAGUCGAACGGAAAGGCCCUGCUUGCAGGGUGCUCGAGUGGCGAACGGGUGAGUAACACGUGGGUGAUCUGCCCCUUACUUUGGGAUAAGCCUGGGAAACUGGGUCUAAUACUGGAUAGGACCAUGCUGUAGGUGGUGUGGUGGAAAGAUUAGUUUCGGUAAGGGAUGAGCUCGCGGCCUAUCAGCUUGUUGGUGGGGUAAUGGCCUACCAAGGCGUCGACGGGUAGCCGGCCUGAGAGGGUGGACGGCCACAUUGGGACUGAGAGACGGCCCAGACUCCUACGGGAGGCAGCAGUGGGGAAUAUUGCACAAUGGGCGCAAGCCUGAUGCAGCGACGCCGCGUGGGGGAUGACGGCCUUCGGGUUGUAAACUCCUUUCAGCCAUGACGAAGCCCUUGUGGUGACGGUAGUGGUAGAAGAAGCACCAGCUAACUACGUG